UUAGGGAACUUUCACACUGGGCGCAAGCCUGAUGGAGUGACGCCGCGUGCAGGACGAAGGCCUUCGGGUCGUAAACUGCUUUUGUGGGGGACGAGGAUGACGGUACCCCACGAAGAAGCCCCGGCUAACUACGUGCCAGCAGCCGCGGUAAUACGUAGGGGGCGAGCGUUGUCCGGAAUUACUGGGCGUAAAGAGCGCGUAGGCGGGCGCUUACAUCCACUGUAAAAGCCCCUGGCUCAACCAGGGGAGGCCGGUGGAGAUGGGGGGCCUGGAGUCUGGCAGAGGCAAGCGGAAGUCCCGAAGUAGUGGUGAAAUGCGUAGAGAUCGGGAGGAACACCAGAGGCGAAGGCGGGUUGCUGGGCCAGGACUGACGCUGAGGCGCGAAAGCUAGGGGAGCGAACGGAAUUAGAUACCCCGGUAGUCC
rnacentral:rRNA from 1 species